GGUCUGUCCCAACCCCACCCAAUGCCUUCCUUCUUCCCGCCCAGAUCUGCGUGGAAAAAUGCCCCGACCGCUACCUCACGUACCUGAAUGCUCGCAGCUCCCGGGACUUUGAGUACUAUAAGCAGUUCUGUGUUCCUGGCUUCAAGGACAAUAAAGGAGUGGCUGAGGUGCUUCGAGAUGGUGACUGCCCUGCUGUCCUCAUCCCCAGCAAACCCUUGGCCCGGAGAUGCUUCCCCGCCAUCCACGCCCACAAGGGUGUCCUGAUGGUGGGCAAUGAGACGACUUAUGAGGAUGGGCAUGGCUCCCGGAAAAACAUCACGGACCUGGUGGAGGGCGCUAAGAAAGCCAAUGGAGUCCUAGAGGCGCGGCAACUCGCCAUGCGCAUAUUUGAAGAUUACACGGUCUCUUGGUAUUGGAUUAUCAUGUCUGGUCAUUGCUAUGGCAAUGAGCCUCCUAUUCAUCAUCCUGCUCCGCUUCCUGGCUGGCAUUAUGGUCUGGGUGAUGAUCAUUAUGGUGAUUCUGGUGCUGGGCUACGGUAGGUUACCCCCUCCCCGUGACUCUUCUUUCCUGAAUCUGCACACUGCCCUGCCCUUUCCCAUGGAAAUGGCCCAUCAGGGAAAAAAAAGAAAAUGUCAGGCUGGGUGCAGUGGCUCACACCUGUAAUCCCAGCACUUUGGGAGGCCAAAGCAGGCAGAUCACUGAGGUCAGGAGUUCGAGACCAGCCUGACCAACAUGGAGAAAC
rnacentral:lncRNA from 10 species